UCUCAGUGGUGGUACCGGCAGAUAAGACAUGAAGCUGCAUGAGGCUCUACCAGAGUCUUAUGCCAUUCCUCUGGUCGCAUAUAGUGCACAGCCUUUGAGCGUCUUACAAGUACGAGCAUGCGACAGCAAGCUUCUGUCAGGAGACUUGCGCUUUAUUUCUUAAUGAUCUUACCAUUCGCUUUAUUUCUUAAUGAUCUUACCAUUCUUUUGAGACCGCAUAUAUUUUAACGGCGUGUUUUCAUUAUAAGUGGAAAUCUCUUUAUUGUUACUCUGUUGGACAAGCAUGCAGAGAACUUUGAUGAGGACUCUGUCCGUGCAAGUUCAUCGCAGGGCUGUGUCAGCAUAUUAUUUGUAGGCAUGGCUGUUGCUUACUACUCAGGAAACUGUGCUUCAAAAGCACAUCUCUAGCCCGUUCGUACAUAAACAUUCCCAUUCCGGAGGUAUUUGAUAUACAUGCCAGAUACGGGAAUCAGCCAUAUGAAGUAGAAUGGCACGGAUCAGAUGCAAGGGCUGACCCUGUUGAGAUAACAUUGUAUGCUUUGUCCAAAGAAGAAAGAGAUUUCACUAUGGUAACCUUUUAAAAUUAUUGAUAAAAUAAAACAUGGAAAUAGCAAAGAUGCGUUGUGCCUGCUUAUCCCUAAACAUAUCAAUUGCAUUGAUAAUAUGCAGGAAAAGUACUAUAAGAUGACAUUUAUUGCCACAGAGGUCGAGAAUUCUGAUGGCUGUUGUUCACGACCUGCAAGGUAUGCUGGAAAAAUAUCCCUAAUGGAAAUGCUUACAGAUGCACCUACAACUGCUUCUGCAAAGAAGAGAGGCAUGGAUUGUUUGCAGGUAAUAUUGGUAAGCCGACAUUGCCAUCAGCAAGAAACACAAAAAACUGCAUUGUCUACAGAAAAAUCUUCCAUGGCUUCUCCAUCUGGCGAAUCACCAAAUACAACAGCAGAUAGCAGAGCUUUAGGCGCCAUACCAAGC